rnacentral:rRNA from 1 species
UACGGGGGGGGCAAGCGUUGUUCGGAAUUACUGGGCGUAAAGGGCGCGUAGGCGGUUCGCUAAGUUGGAUGUGAAAGUUCUGGGCUCAACCCAGAGCCUGCAUCCAAAACUGGCGGGCUAGAGUUCUGGAGGGGGUAGCGGAAUUCCUGGUGUAGCGGUGAAAUGCGUAGAUAUCAGGAGGAACACCGGUGGCGAAGGCGGCUACCUGGACAGAAACUGACGCUGAGGUGCGAAAGCGUGGGGAGCAAACAGG